AUGAUUUUUUUAAUUCUUAAAUUUCAUGGUUUAUAUAUAUGUAAACAAGGGUCCUUAAUGACCAUGCACAUCACCACAACAAAACCUCACAUUUCUCUCCUCUUCUAAUCAUUCUCGGCCGAAGAUAUAGGUCACACCACACCACCUUUUGACUUCAUUCAAGCUAUUCUACUAUUAUACAAGUGUGAGGGAUCGCGUACGAGGAAGCCCGGUGCUCACGGAUUGCAAGGGACCUCACCCCAUUGCUUUUAUCCACGCGUUUUUCGACUAGUUUCUUCCCUAGCCUCGAGCUAGUAGUCGUCGCACAGCUGCUUGAUCAGGAGAUAUACUUGGUAGAGACGCACCACAGGAAUUAAAAGAUCUGGCACGGUAUGGCAUGUUUUCCGCUGCAUUAGUCACCGAGGUCAUCCAGGGUUUGGGGAAUGUGACUCUUUCCUGGACAAGUCACAGUCCUUGAAUCAUGUCUAUGUUAUGUUUACGUUUGUAAUGUUUGUGGAACAAGUUUGUGGUUGUUAGGGUAUGUUACUCCGUUAAGACAAUGUUAUGGUAUUUUGGUUUUUAACUAAUGGAUGAUCUUGCAUAUUUUUAAUUCAUAUAGCUUUGUUAUGAUUAAGCUAUGGUAUUAAGAAGUCACACCAAAUUAACCACGCUUCCGCAAAGCCAGGGUGUGACAU
rnacentral:lncRNA from 1 species